rnacentral:tRNA from 1 species
GCACCUGUGGCUCAAAGGAGGAGGGCACCGGCCCCAUAUGCCGGAGGUGAUGGGUUCAAACCCAGCCUGGGCCA